CCGUGAGCUCUGCCCAGCUGUGCUGCCCGGACACCCCACACACCCCACACUGUGAGCUCUGCCCGGCUGUGCUGCCCGGACACCCCACACACCCCACACUGUGAGCUGUGCCCGGCUGUGCUGCCCGGACACCCCACACACCCCACACUGUGAGCUCUGCCCGGCUGUGCUGCCCGGACACCCCACACACAUGUUGAGGUGGCAUUACCUCUGAAUACAGCAGUGAACACGGUUCCAGUCUAUCCAUCCAUAUUUUCCAAGAUAGCAAAAAACGAGAGGGUGCUGAAGAGAACCACAAAACUGGUCUGAAGACUGAAGGUGAUGCCAGGCAGCAAGAGGGUUAAAAUACUUAGUUCCUCAAAGAGACAGCACAGAAGGCAGCUUAUGAGAAAGAGAACAAGUAUUACUUUUUAGCCAGAAUCCACACAGCUUCAUCACACAAAAUCAGAUGCUGCUUACAAAACAAAGGAAAAGGGAAGCAGUAUGUCCUACUUCAUGAGAAAACCUGGACUGACAAUGAACACAGAAGGCUAAAGCAGUUUUAAGUCAGAGGUAAAGUAUUGCAAGAGUAGAUAGAUCUAAGUUGCCCAGCAAGUUUUCUAUUUCAUCAGCAGAUAAGCAUUACUUCCUUGUUUGACUUUUGCAUUAUUUUUUGGAGGCCGUGUGGGAAAUUGUGUCUUUUCUGCUGUUCCAGUGCAUCAGAGAAAGAGAUGGGGAAUACACUGCCUGGGAUAGACAAGAAAUGUUAUUCAGUCUGUGCAGGUGUAAUGAUCCACGACCAGAUGUACAGGCACUGCUCAAGAGAGAGCCAACUGCAUCCUACAGCAGGAGGGACAAACCUGGGACACAUCCCUUCAAACGUGGAGUUAUGCCAGUAGUCUACAGUCACAGGAACGGAGUGAGAGGAAGCUGUAGGAGAAGAUGAACAGUGUAUUGCACCUCCCAAUAAUGUUGGUAAUCUGCAGCAUGGGCACAUCUCUGAACUCCUAAGGAGACAGUGACAUUUGAAAUAUUGAUAAAGACUACUGAUCAGAAAAUUCCUAUUCAUCCUACAUCCUGUUUCACUUUCAGCCACAGGGAAUCUUUUAAGGAACAUAACAGACAGUACAUAAAAAGUUACUCUUGGUUACAGGACACAACAAGAAGUAACACAAUUUAGUGAAAAAUGUAGGGUGGAAAUUUUCAUGCACUUCAUGUAGCUCCUGCUUGAAAUCCAAGAAACCACAGGACAUCCAGCAGAUCAAAAUACACCUCCUUGGCAGAAAACAGCUAUUAUUUCUGAGGGCAGCUCAGCUGGCAGAGCUGUAGGCAUACAGCAACCUCUUGUGGCAAAUCCAGCACACACAGAGUAAUGAACAACCUUUGAAACUGCUUAAGCUACUCUUGAUACAAGUCAAACCUCUAUAAAAUUGCGUUAGCAAAUGACUGGAGAGUUGGAGUCUGUUACCUGGAGGCUCAGCAAUACUCAGACUUCAGAGCUGUAAUAGUCCUCCUGUUUGAUUCAAGAUGAAUUAAACAUCGGUAGCCUGUUAUAAAUGAAGUGCCAGACUGAAAUUUCUGUUAAUAAAAUUCUCUAGAAGCUUUUCAUUAAAGUAGAGCAAGCGUGGCAUAACGGCCAGAAGUAGAAUCUGUGGCCAGGUGUGACCAGAAGAAUAAACAUGCUGUUAUGUUGAAUCAUUGUUCUCUGCAUGGUUUUGCUGAAUAAAACUAUGACUGGUUUCAGUAGGGACAUCAAAGUGCCUUUAAUGUUUGCAGGAGCUGAGCAAGACUGAGAACAGUUAAGAGUACAGGCCUGGCUCAACAGUGUGUUCUGCAGAGGGCUGGCAGAGCAGUAGCCCUUCAGCUGACAGGGGGGAGGACAAGAAAGUGUCAGACAGAGCUAUAGGCCUGAAGGGGAAAAAAGGCAUCCCGGUAUGUGCACAGAAUCCAGGACACCUACCUCUUCAAAAGGAUGUAACUCACUGGUUGUGCAAAAGCAUGAAGUGUACGUUCCUCCAACCACCUGAGCAGCUGCAAAUGCCUGUCCUGGGCAGGCUGAGGAGGGGAGAGCAGUGAGAAGGUGCUGGAAGGGAACAGGAAGAAUGGCAGUAUGUGGGAAAAGGGUCAUCAACAACAGUGAGGCUUUCCAAAGAAAGAGGUGCUUUCCUGGGAACCUGGUGUGGGAGUUGUGCACCACAGAAACAAUUACGAGUAUCGUAGAUGACACUUAUUAGACCAAUGAACUAUUUUAUUUUUUUACAUUGUAGAAAUAUACUCCUCUACUGCUGGACCUAAGGGUGAGCUCAGGAAAUGACUGAGCUUAUGUAUGCACCACUCACCAGAACUCUAGGGGCUUGUAUGCCAGGCGGGAGUUACUGUGCUUGAAAUGAUUUGCAAAUCUGUGCAUACCACUUGGAGAGGAACAGGCUGAACAAGUACGUCCUGAAAAGGAUAAAGGCUUUAAACAGCAGCUAAUAUUUGUUUAUUAAAAUUAAGUCUUGUGCUAUAGCUCUCUUUUAUAUUGCAACUCCCCAGACUUGCCAUGUGUAAUUUCUUUGCCAUUUCAUCUGCUGCAGCUUCACACAAGAGUCAGAAAUCACAUCCUCUCAGUUCUGGCCUCAGUCUGUGGACUGAGCAGCUCCUGCCAGACCAGUGACAAGGUGCACACUCCCAAAUUCCCAAGCAGCUCUGUCAAGCACCACCUAACCUGGGAGUGGCAAGUGCUUAAGGGCAGAGACUCUUCCUUGCCCCGGAGGAAACUCCUCCCUGCAGAGAAGUCCAACAGGACAUCUGUGUCUCGGGUCAUCAAACAGCACAUGUGACAUUACCAACCUGACCAAGACACUGAACCACCCAACACGCACUGAAUGUGUUUCCACUGCUUUCCUUGUCACUUGGCUUCAGUCAUUCCCAUCUCUGUAAGGUGUUUUGAGGGCUACACAUAAAAACAACUGCAUAUUAACCAACACCGUGCCCUCCAACAUGGUGACAUGAAGAUUAGCAGCAGAAAUACUUCCCUGAAAGCAUGUCCUUCUCGUGGAAUGCCUCCAUCGUUGGGAACAGUCCCUGAGAAGCCUGAAAACAGGCUUCCUGCAGGGGCUUGAUUCUUCUAGCAAACCUACCGGUUUUGUUCCUUAUGUCCUGAACUUAGUGGCAAUUCGUAUUUAAAUAAUGAAAGCACAGUAUUAAGCUUGAACUAAAUAAAACAAACUCCUUACAACAGAAAGCACAACAGAUUCAUCACAGUAUGGUCAGUGAUGGGGCAAACACAAACUGAAAUGACACAGAAUGGAAGGCACAAACAGGAUGAAAAAUGAAGUUCUCUAUUAUUUAGAAGUUCAAAAUACAGUUUUAGUUUCCUGCUUAGCUCUUGUUAUUAAGCAUACUACCAUAAGCAGGAUACCUUAAUAAAGAGGUAAAUAAAUCAGAGAAAAUAAUGCAUCUGACAGUGCACCUGUCAAAAUG